CUUCCCCUGGGGACCAAAACUUUGGGCCCUGCCCAGACGUACCUCUCUUUGUGGCUGAGCUGUCAAGAUGCUGGGGUGCUGGGGUGCAGGCUCACGAACCUGCUCGUCUACUAGGGCACAAACCUGGAAGACUGGGAGAGGCAGAAGAAGUCCUGGUCAGGGCUCUGAGGGCCGGCAGACAGUGGGGACAGCCGUGACUCCCAAGCCCUUGGACCAGGAUGAGAGGCUGGAGGAAACAAUGACACGCUUCUAUGCUGUGCUGCGAAAGGAUCGCAGUGCGCAUGCACAACCUUCUCAGCCCUCUUCCCUGGGUGCCCAAGCGUCCCAAGACAUGGAGUGGCCUCGGAAAGAACCAAAGACACUAGCAGGCUUAGCUGACGGGGGUUUGUGGGUACUGAAUGCUCCCUGGGAAAAUGAAAACAUAGAGGCACUUUUCUCCUGGCUGUUUAUUACAGAACGAAGAAAAAACGCACUGGCUUGAAACAGACGCCAGAUUUCAAAUGUAGAGGUGAAAUACCAGGUGGCAAUUAAAAUGUGAUUACACAGA